rnacentral:sRNA from 1 species
AAGCAAAUAUGAUUAUCUCACAGUUAUGUAUCCAAGCAAUGUAAUGAUUUUAUCAUGUGUUACGUAAUUAGGGGUUUUUAGGGGCCAAUAGUCCAGAAUUUUGAUCACAUAUAUCUCAGAAAGGAAAAAUAUUUUGAAAUGCAGUAUAGAUGAAAAGAUGCUCAAAAUGGUGUAUCAAAUCAUGUGCAAUUUUCAAAAUUUCGUUAAAAUGUCCCUAUAAGGAGUUCAGGGAUCAACCCUUAAAAUGUUCUUUCCCAUAUAUCUCAAGAACGGUAACGAAUUUCUAAACAGUUGUUGAACAUAAUGUGUUGAGAUUUAAAUGACCUUUUAUUUGAUAUCGAGAAAAAGAUGCUGGCCCCUUAAAUUACGGGACCAAAGGGCUCUAAAGUCUUUUAUCUGUAGCCCUUUACUGAGGGAUAUGUUGUGAACGGUUAUAGAAGCAAAUAUGUUUAUCUUACAAUUAUGUAUCCAAGCAAUGUAAUGAUUUUAUCAUGUGUUACAUAAUAAGGGGGUUUUAGGGGCCAAAAUUAUAGAGUUUUGAUCACCAAUAUCUCAGAAAGGAAAAAUAUUUUGAAAUGCAGUAAAGAAGAAAAGAUACUUAGAAUGGUGUACUAAAUAAUAUGCAAUUUUCAAAAUUUCGUUAAACGGCCCCUAUAAGGAGUUAAGGAAUCAGCCCCUACAACGUUCUUUCCCAUAUCUCUCAAAAACGGUAACGAAUUUCUAAACAGUUGUUGAACAAAAUGUGUUGAGAUUUAAAUGACCUUUUAUUUGAUAUUAAAAAAGGGACUGACCCCUAGAAUGAGGGAACUAAAGGGCUCUAAAAAUUUCAACUGUAGCUCUUUACUGAGGGAAAUUUAAUGAAAGGCUAUAGAAGCAAAUAUGUUUAUCUUACAGUUCUGUAUCCAAGUAAUGUAAUGGUGUAUUCAUGUGUUAUGGAAUAAGGAUCUUUUAGGGGUCAUGAGUCCAUAAACCAGCUAUAUCUCAAAACUGAAAAUAUUUUGAAAUGCAGUGUAGAAGAAAAGAUGCUCAAAAUGAUGUACUUUACAAAAUGCAACCUUCAAAAUUUGGUUCAGCGGCUCCAAUAAGGAGGUAAGGGACUGACCCCUAAAACUUUUUUUCUCAGAUAUCUCAAGAACGGUGACGAAUUUCUAAACACUAGUUGAACAAAGCUCUUAUACCUGAAACAAAAUAGUAUCUGGCCCUUAGAAUGUAGACCCCGUUUUUCUAUUCUAAAUCAUGUUUAGCUGUUAAAUAGCAAAAUCAAAAUCGAACAUGUAUCUCAAAUUCUAAAAUCAGACGGAAGACCUCCUCGUUGCUCGCAACGAGAUCGUGUCUAGUUACCUUUAUAUUUAUUUAUGUAUAUAUUUUAGGCACAUAGUUUAACUGAUAGGUAAUGUACAUUUAUUUCUCAAAAUACAUUUUUUUUAUGGUUUUACCAGUUUCUGUAUAUAACUGCUGUCUGUAAUUACGUUUUCAAGACUACACUGUGCACUUCUUUCUGUAAACUAAUUGUGUUAUAUUGUAUAAAUAAAGGACAUUAUUGUUAUUAUAAUAAAACUUUAUAAAAGCAUU